AUCCUACGGGACGCAGCAGUGGGGAAUAUUGCACAAUGGGGGAACCCUGAUGCAGCGACGCCGCGUGGGUGAAGAAGUCAUUCGUGACGUAAAGCCCUAUCAGCAGGGAAGAAAAUGACGGUACCUGACUAAGAAGCCCCGGCUAACUACGUGCCAGCAGCCGCGGUAAUACGUAGGGGGCAAGCGUUAUCCGGAAUUACUGGGCGUAAAGCGCUCGUAGGCGGUAUGUCAAGUCAAGGGUGAAAUCCCCGCGCUCAACGUGGGAACUGCCUUUGAAACUGGCAAACUGGAGUGUGUGAGAGGAG
rnacentral:rRNA from 1 species